rnacentral:misc_RNA from 1 species
GAUGAAGAACGCAGCGAAAUGCGAUAAGUAGUGUGAAUUGCAGAAUUCAGUGAAUCAUCGAAUCUUUGAACGCACAUUGCGCCCCUUGGUAUUCCAUGGGGCAUGCCUGUUCGAGCGUCAUUUGUACCUUCAAGCUUUGCUUGGUGUUGGGUGUUUGUCCUGAGGGACUCGCCUUAAAGUAAUUGGCAGCCAGUGUUUUGGUUUUGAAGCGCGGCACAAGUCGCGAUUCAAGGCUAUACGCCAGCUUCCACAAGCCUUUUUCACUUUUGACCUCGGAUCAGGUAGGGAUACCCGCUGAACUUAAGCAUAUCAAUAAGCGGAGGA